AUUACCGAAGCGAACGGAACUUUAACUAGUACUGAGUACGAAAUUGAAUUAUUCCAGAAUUUACUAAGACCCAGUACUGGAUUUGGCAAAAACAAAAAUAAAUUCGGAGCGCAGAAAAAAACACGACCGUUCGCUUUGAAGCUGGAAGACGGCAAUCAGGUGGGAAGCAAAAGAGCAUCUGAUUUGCGUACGUCAUCAACUGAGGCAAUUGCCGUGCAUGCGGAUCUAAGCACCACACUCUUCUUCAUCUGCAUGUCGUGGCCUAGCUUUCCCCGCAUGAAAGGUUACAGCCUGGGGAAACGCUUGCAUCUGACUCACUCUGCACGGCCUGAAACGACUGCUGCUUUUCUUGCUCAGGAUCUUGGUGAAGAUGUUGUGCUCCUAGCCACUGUAUUAGUGAGGAACCGUUCAGGAAUCUUCGUUCCUUGCCGUGCUAUGCUUUACCUCGGAUCUCACCUGCACCUUAUCCGGAUUCGCAAAUUAGCUUAACCUUGAAAAGGUGAAAUCGGCGGCUUGCGUUACUGGAAUAGGCGAUUCUAGUUUUGAAACAGAUGUUUCCUCAGUAUACAUUUCAAUGCGAUCUCGAACUUCUAACUUCUCGGCCGACAUCACUGCUAAUAUUGCCUCCUAUAUUAUUGAAUGUCAGCCCUGCUUAGACAUUGACAUUUGCAACUGGAACAUACCCAAAAAUCUUAAGCUCGCGGACCCAGAGUUUCAUCGUUCUGAGCGCAUAGAUUUGCUGAUUGGCGCCAUUCUCUUCUACGAACUGAUGUGCGUUGGUCAAUUCAAACUGACUUCAUAAAUUAUUGGCCACCUACAGCAUCAACGAAGAUGCCAGUAUUGGAAUUCCGUCAAAGUAAAGGAUUAGAGCAGCCAGUACACUUUGUUGGGCAAGAUGGCCUUUGUCUAAUAUAUGGCCAGCUGAAAAAGCCUUCGUUGAAGUCAGCGACCGAAUCCCAAUCAGCGUAGCGCAGGAUCAUACCGCAGUAGGAUCUACGAAGCGAGCAGUGAAUGAGCUGCCUCUGCUACCCCUUAAGAAUUCUGUUGAAAGCCACGCUUCCAACGGGAGGACAAUGUUGGGUUUCGCAGCUGCCAGAAAAUUAUAAAUUUUUUAUUUGUAAACAUACCAACUUUGGAGACACAGUUCAAGAGCAUUAUCUUUGUUAUCUAUGCAGAUCAUCUGCGUGACCAUCUAAGCUCUCCCCUUUCGCGCUAUCUAUAUUUGUAUAACUCUGGCACCUACAUUUUUAGCAUAGCGUUUUACUGUUCGCUCUGCAAUCAAUUCAACUCUCGCUUUUGUACUUUAUGCAUUUGCGCAUCGCUGCCAAACUUUGCAGAGGAAAGUAAACCAAAUCUUUUGAAUUAUCUACAAAUCCAUCGUCGUUUUAUUUUCUUGAGCUUAGCUCAACACGUCCGCUCCUAGAGUAUGGACGGCAUUUUUGGAGUCCAUAAUACGAAGUUUAUUUGAAUCGCAUUCAACCGGUUCAAAAAAUUUCUAACUCGUUGUCUUACGACGCCUAAAUAGGGAUGCAAAAGUUUUAUUACCACCUUGUUUCACUAUACUAAUGUUAAUGAACUUUUAUAUGUUUUCCCUGUUCUUUACUGUAUUCCUAUAUCUCGUCCGCCUUUAGAUACGCCCAUUAACUAAGCUAAGUUAAGGAAAGGUAACCGUAAGGCUUAGAAAGACGGGUUUUCCAUUUGAUUUUCCAUGGAUUUUUUUAAUCGUAUUUGAAUUUAUAUUACAGGAGGAAGUCAAUGGAGAAAAGCAAAAUACUGCACUUUGUGCGCGCUCCAGAGUCAAGGAGGAUCGAAAAAACCGAGACAAAACGAAUGGAAAUUGGCUUUAAUCGAAAGGCUACUAGGUUUUGGCAAGAAUAAUCAAGGUUAAUAGCCACAGAGCAAGUUAACCGCUGAUCUAUCCCCUUGCCGUCUUAUUUGGAAUCUUAGCUACUUCAAUCUAAUUUUAUCACAGAAAGCUUUGACCACCGCUUAAACAUCCGUAGAGAGGAGUCGUGCUUGAAUCUACUUAAUGUUGACGAGUCCAAGUAUCAAGUAAAAAAGAAAGUACACGCAGUGUUAAAGUCGCGAAUUUAUGGUAGUGAGUGUUAAAUAAUCUAUCUCAGGGUACUAUCAUUAGUGGUUUAGCAAUAACAGACCAUAGCGAUUCCCAGAAAUUCCCAGAAGAAAACUAUCAGAAGAAUUAAUUGGGCUAACCCAACUCAAUUGAGGUUGCUGAACGGAUCUGCAGAAUUUGAGAAAGAUAUUAGUUCAAAACUUCAACACGCCAACAAUAGGUCUUAUAAAAAUUAUUACGUCGGCGACAAAGUUUUCUAAAAAUCAAAGAAACGAAUGGGAAAUAAACUGUAAACAGACAAUGAACGUAAACCGACAAUGUCUCAAAUGAGACAAGAGAGAACGCGAGUUUCUCGACUAUCAGAUACCUUAACCUAAAAAUAUUUGCUUAUAUAGUUCUAAGGAUAGACGGACGAUCAGACGGCCAAGGCUAGAUCCUAAAAAAAAAUUUUAAACUAUUUAUAGAAUUCAUUUUAAAAUUAAAUUUUUCGUUUAUUAUUUUAUUUGGGGUUAGGACUACAUAAAACAAUAUUAGUCAAAUUAGUCAAAUUUAUAAAAAAUGAUCUGAAAAUGUAAUGUUCUUAAUAAUAAAAGCAAAAGUAAACUUAAUGAGCCGCGAAGCUUUAGAUGUAAUUUAUAAAUUGUUAAGCCUGAAAAAUCUCCAGCACAUUGUGCACCUUAAGGAGGGAGUUUGCAUGAAGCCACAAUUAGGCAGCAGUAUUCCUUUGGUAAUUGUUUUGAUGUGUUUCUGCGUCACCUUUCAGCUCCAUCGACGUUGCGUUUAUAGCCGCGAGGAAUUUGACCACCGUACAAAGAACAAAGGAGUUAGCAGGCAACACAUUGGUGUGGCAAAAUCGGAUGCCGUUCUUCAAUUCAGCAGUCUGAAUCCAAUGAACAGCAAUUAUUCUGAUAAAAAAGAGUUAAAAACUAAUUUAAAAUAAGUAUUAAAUCAAAUAAAUUCUAUCAAUAUCAACGGGAAAAA